rnacentral:rRNA from 1 species
AGAACGAACGCUGGCGGCAGGCUUAACACAUGCAAGUCGAGCGCUGUAGCAAUACAGAGCGGCGCACGGGUGAGUAACACGUGGGAACAUGCCUUUCGGUUCGGAAUAACUCAGGGAAACUUGUGCUAAUACCGGAUACGCCCUUACGGGGAAAGAUUUAUUGCCGAAAGAGUGGCCCGCGUUGGAUUAGCUAGUUGGCGGGGUAAAAGCCCACCAAGGCGACGAUCCAUAGCUGGUCUGAGAGGACGACCAGCCACACUGGGACUGAGACACGGCCCAGACUCCUACGGGAGGCAGCAGUGGGGAAUCUUGGACAAUGGGGGAAACCCUGAUCCAGCCAUGCCGCGUGAGUGAUGAAGGCCCUAGGGUUGUAAAACUCUUUCGGCGGGGACAUAAUGACGGUACCCGCAGAAGAAGCUCCGGCUAACUUCGUGCCAGCAGCCGC